rnacentral:rRNA from 1 species
GAUGAACGCUGGCGGCGUGCCUAAUACAUGCAAGUCGAGCGAAUGGAUUAAGAGCUUGCUCUUAUGAAGUUAGCGGCGGACGGGUGAGUAACACGUGGGUAACCUGCCCAUAAGACUGGGAUAACUCCGGGAAACCGGGGCUAAUACCGGAUACCAUUUUGAGCCGCAUGGUUCGAAAUUGAAAGGCGGCUUCGGCUGUCACUUAUGAAUGGACCCGCGUCGCAUUAGCUAGUUGGUGAGGUAACGGCUCACCAAGGCAACGAUGCGUAGCCGACCUGAGAGGGUGAUCGGCCACACGGGGACUGAGACACGGCCCAGGCUCCUACGGGAGGCAGCAGUAGGGAAUCUUCCGCAAUGGACGAAAGUCUGACGGAGCAACGCCGCGUGAGUGAUGAAGGCUUUCGGGUCGUAAAACUCUGUUGUUAGGGAAGAACAAGUGCUAGUUGAAUAAGCUGGCACCUUGACGGUACCUAACCAGAAAGCCACGGCUAACUACGUGCCAGCCGCCGCGGUAA